UACGUAGGUGGCAAGUGUUGUCCGGAUUUACUGGGCGUAAAGGGCGUGCAGGCGGUCUGUUAAGUUCAGGGUGAAAGCUCCCGGCUCAACUGGGAGAGGUCCUUGGAUACUGGCAGACUCGAGGGAGGUUAGAGGAGAGUGGAAUUCCCGGUGUAGUGGUGAUAUGCGUAGAUAUCGGGAGGAACACCAGUGGCGAAGGCGGCUCUCUGGGCCUUUCCUGACGCUGAGACGCGAAAGCGUGGGGAGCGAACCGG
rnacentral:rRNA from 1 species